GUCUAGGGCCAUACCACCCUGAACGCGCCCGAUCUCGUACUGAUCUCAGAAGCUAAGCAGGGUCGGGCCUGGUUAGUACUUGGUUGGGAGAACAGAAGACGGUAAGCUAUGCCACCCGACC
rnacentral:rRNA from 1 species